rnacentral:misc_RNA from 1 species
AGCAUGGAGAUGGUCAGUAUAAUGAAUAGCCUUAAACUGAAGAAGAACUUGAGAGGCACUGUAAUCAAUCAACAACGUAGACGUCUUCACUGGCUCUUCCGGACUGAUUGGAAAAGAUUUAGAACGGUUUGCCGAAACAGUUCCUAAACCGAAAGGAGCUGUGCCCGGAUUUGGUCUACCGGGAUGGAAGAUGAUGCCUUUGGAGCAUAAGAUACCCAUGAUACCUGCUCCGAAGGGUGCUUACAAUUUCACACGACGGAAAGUAGGAAAGAAAUUAUGGGAACCGAAAUUGGAGUUUGAUUUAAGCGAUCCUUAUUGUCAUGAAGCUAAAUUCCCUUAUGAACCCCUGCACGACAAGCAUCUACUCGAGUUCUUCUCCAGACAGAUAAAUCUAAAAUCUUUACUGAAAGCCGACCUAAUUACAGACGACAUGGACGUAAAAUGUUCGUUGCGUGAUUACAAUACAUACAGAAAAUACUUAAGACAAGUACACGCUGAUCGUAUAAAGAGGGAAUUGAGAAAAAGAAACCGUUUGUUCGUUGAGAGGAGAGCUCUACAUUUCGCUGAAGACCAGGCGCGCAAGGAAACAGAAAGAUUGAAAGAAAGAGAGAAGUUGUCCAGCGAGAGACAACUUCUCGUGCAGCAACGAUUACUACAGGAAGAUUUAAAAAUUCGGAAGUUGAAAGAACGAGCAUUCAGAACAACUCAAAGAUUGAAAUUAUUAAAGCUUAUUAGGCAAGAGGAACAACGACUAAUAAACAUUAAACAUGAAGAGAAAAGCGAGCAGAUUCGGCAGAAAUGCAAAAUUGCGACGAAAAUUGCCCGACAUAAAGUGAUCGAUACACUGAUGGACUGGAAGAAGAAGGACAAGGCGCGAAAGAAAGGCAUGGAAAAGAGACUAAUAGAUAUUGAACAACAAAAGAAGAAGAACAUGGAAGAAAGAUGGAGGAAAAAGCAGCAGUUCCAAGAAGAAGAUAUUGCGAAACAAGAAAUGUUGUUACAGUGCAUAGACGCACGCCGUCAAAGAUUCAUAGAGGCUUACAAUAACAAAAUAAAUGAAGAAGCUACCAAAAUGAAAAGACUUUUGGACAACGCAAAACUAUUUACAAAUUGUUACAUGAAAAGGCAUCUACUAGGUGGGAGAAAAGUCAUUUGCUGCAAAAAAUACUUUAAAAACAAUACGAACAAAAAUAUGAAGAAAAAAUAACUCACAAAAUUCGAUGAAUUCUUCAUCAAAAUCCAUAAAACGAAAGAAAUACAAAGUAUGAAGAUUAACGCAAGUGGUGCCAGAACGUAACACAAAAAUUGAAAUAGCAGACUAAAACAAUAUGGACCAAUCGUUAGUGAAAACAGAUUAGUAAAAAAAAUAAAUUUUUUAAAUAUUCAUUGCGAAACAAAAUUUAAAUAAAAAUUGUGUCAACGAAAACAGGAAUAGUCAAUGCUAUGUGCAAAAUCAAUAUUAGAAAACAAAUGUCACGUAAAGAAUAAUAAACAAUAUAUAAUACGUAAAAUUUUAUUAAAAAUACUGGAAAGUACAUUGAGUUAUGGGCAAAAUAUUUAGCAAUGUUACGUAAAAAUAAUACAAAAUAAGAAUUAUUAUAUUUA